rnacentral:lncRNA from 1 species
AUGCUCAAAAUUCUCCAAGUCAGGCUUCAGCAAUACGUGAACCGUGAACUUCCAGAUGUUCAAGCUGGUUUUAGAAAAGGCAGAGGAACCAGAGGUCAAAUUGCCAACAUCUGCUGGAUGAUGGAAAAAGCAAGAGAGUUCCAGAAAAACAUCUAUUUCUGCUUUAUUGACUAUGCCAAAGCCUUUGACUGUGUGGAUCACAACAAACGGUGGAAAAUUCUGAAAGAGAUGGGAAUACCAGACCACCUGAACUGCCUCUUGAGAAACCUGUAUGCAGAUCAGGAAGCAGCAGUUAGAACUGGACAUGGAACAAUAGACUGGUUCCAAAUAGGAAAAGGAGUAUGUCAAGGCUGUAUAUUGUCACCCUGCUUAUUUAACUUCUAUGCAGAGUACAUCACGAGAAACGCUGGGCUGGAAGAUGCACAAGCUGGAUUCAAGAUUGCCGGGAGAAAUAUCAAUAAUCUCAGAUAUGCAGAUGACACCACCCUUAUGGAAGAAAGCAAAGAAGAACUAAAGAGCCUCUUGAUGAAAGUGAAAGAGGACAGUGAAAAAGUUGGCUUAAAGUUCAACAUUCAGAAAACGAACAUCAUGGCAUCUGGUCCCAUCACUUCAUGGGAAAUAGAUGGGGAAACAGUGGAAACAGAGUCAGACUUUAUUUUUCUGGGCUCCAAAAUCACUGCAGAUGGUGAUUGCAGCCAUGAAAUUAAAAGAUGCUUACUUCUUGGAAGGAAAGUUAUGACCAACCUAGGUAGUAUAUUCAAAAGUAGAGACAUUACUUUGUUAAUAAAGGUCCAUCUAGUCAAGGCUAUGGCUUUUCCUGUGGUCAUGUAUGGAUGUGAGAUUUGGACUAUAAAGAGAGCCAAGUGCCAAAGAACUGAUGCCUUUGAACUGUGGUGUUGGAGAAGACUCUUGAGAGUCCCUUCGACUGCAAGGAGAUCAAACCAGUUUAUCCUAAAGGAAAUCAGUCCUGAAUAUUCAUUGGAAGGACUGAUGCUGAAACUGAAACUCCAAUCCUUUGGACACCUGAUGCAAAGGACUGACUUAAUGGAAGAGACUCUAAUGCUGGGAAAGGUUGAAUGCAGUAGACGAGGGGGACGACAGAGCAUGAGAUGGUUGAAUGGCAUCCCUGACUUGUUGGACAUGAGUUUGAGCAUGCUCCGGGAGUUGGUGAUGGACAAGGAAGCCUGGUGUGCUGCUGUCCAUGGCGUCACAAAGAGUCGCACACGACUGAGUGACUGA